CUGGCGGCAGGCCUAACACAUGCCAGUUCAACGGUAGCAGGAGAAAGCCUCGCCUUCCUCGCCUGACCAGCGGCGGAACGGGUGAGUAAACGCCUUGGGAAUCUGGCUUCUGGAGGGGGAUAACUACGGGAAACUGUGGCUAAUACCGCGUAAUAUCGUAAGAAGAAAGUCGCGGGACCGUAAGGCCGCAUGCCAUGAGAUGAGCCCAAGUCGGGAUUAGGUAGUUCGGUGGGGUAAAGGCCUACCAAGCCUGCGAUCUCUAGCUGGUCUGAGAGGAUGGCCAGCCACACUGGAACUGAGACACGGUCCAGACUCCUACGGGAGGCAGCAGUGGGGAAUAUUGCGCAAUGGGGGGAACCCUGACGCAGCCAUGCCGCGUGAAUGAAGAAGGCCUUCGGGUUGUAAAGUUCUUUCGGUAUUGAGGAAGGAGUGUAUGUUAAUAGCAUACAUUAUUGACGUUAAAUACAGAAGAAGCACCGGCUAACUCCGUGCCAGCAGCCGUGGUAAUACGGAGGGUGCGAGCGUUAAUCGGAAUAACUGGGCGUAAAGGGCACGCAGGCGGUUAUUUAAGUGAGGUGUGAAAGCCCCGGGCUUAACCUGGGAAUUGCAUUUCAGACUGGGUAACUAGAGUACUUUAGGGAGGGGUAGAAUUCCACGUGUAGCGGUGAAAUGCGUAGAGAUGUGGAGGAAUACCGAAGGCGAAGGCAGCCCCUUGGGAAUGUACUGACGCUCAUGUGCGAAAGCGUGGGGAGCAAACAGGAUUGGAUACCCUGGUAGUCCACGCUGUAAACGCUGUCGAUUUGGGGAUUGAGCUUUAAGCUUGGUGCCCGUAGCUAACGUGAUAAAUCGACCGCCUGGGGAGUACGGCCGCAAGGUUAAAACUCAAAUGAAUUGACGGGGGCCCGCACAAGCGGUGGAGCAUGUGGUUUAAUUCGAAGCAACGCGAAGAACCUUACCAGGUCUUGACAUCCCUCUGACCGCUCUAGAGAUAGAGUUUUCCUUCGGGACAGAGGUGACAGGUGGUGCAUGGUUGUCGUCAGCUCGUGUCGUGAGAUGUUGGGUUAAGUCCCGCAACGAGCGCAACCCCUAUUGUUAGUUGCCAUCAUUCAGUUGGGCACUCUAGCGAGACUGCCGGUAAUAAACCGGAGGAAGGUGGGGAUGACGUCAAAUCAUCAUGCCCCUUAUGACCUGGGCUACACACGUGCUACAAAUGGCUGGUACAACGAGUCGCAAGCCGGUGACGGCAAGCUAAUCUCUUAAAGCCAGUCUCAGUUCGGAUUGUAGGCUGCAAACUCGCCUACAUGAAGUCGAAAUCGCUAGUAAUCGCGGAAUCAGCACGCCGCGGUAAAUACGUUUCCCGGGCCUUGCACACACCGCCCGUC
rnacentral:rRNA from 1 species